rnacentral:rRNA from 1 species
CCCUUAGAUGUUCUGGGCCGCACGCGCGCUACACUGAUGCUUUCAACGAGUUUUUCCCUUGAUAGAGAUGUCUGGGUAAUCUUUUGAAUGAGCAUCGUGCUAGGGAUAGUUUAUUGCAAUUAUUAAACUUGAACGAGGAAUUCCUAGUAAACGCAAGUCAUCAGCUUGUGUUGAUUACGUCCCUGCCCUUUGUACACACCGCCCGUCGCUCCUACCGAUUGAAUGUUCCGGUGAGCUCUUCGGACUGCGCGGUCUGCAGUUUCUGCGUUCCGUGCGGAAAGUUGCGCAAACCUUAACAUUUAGAGGAAGGAGAAGUCGUAACA